CCAGAGCAAAGUCUGAGAGGUUG
rnacentral:piRNA from 1 species